rnacentral:tRNA from 1 species
GGCGGGGUAGUUCAGUUGGUUUAGAACAUUCGGUUCAUACCCGAAAGGUCAUGGGUUCAAGUCCCGUCUCCGCUACCA